GAUGAACGCUGGCGGCGUGCCUAACACAUGCAAGUCGAACGGAGUCCAGCCUUUAAGACCUUCGGGUCAAAGAGGGGAAGACUGAGUGGCGGACGGGUGAGUAACACGUGGGCAACCUGGCUCAUAGAGGGGGAUAACAGAGAGAAAUUUCUGCUAAUACCGCAUAAGCACACACUGCCGCAUGGCAGAGGGUGAAAAGAGAAUCGCUAUGAGAUGGACCCGCGUCUGAUUAGCCAGUUGACAGGGUAAGAGCCUACCAAAGCGACGAUCAGUAGCCGAUCUGAGAGGAUGAACGGCCACAUUGGGACUGAGACACGGCCCAAACUCCUACGGGAGGCAGCAGUGGGGGAUAUUGCACAAUGGGGGGAACCCUGAUGCAGCGACGCCGCGUGAGUGAAGAAGUAUUUCGGUAUGUAAAGCUCUAUCAGCAGGGAAGAUAAUGACAGUACCUGAAUAAGAAGCCCCGGCUAACUACGUG
rnacentral:rRNA from 1 species